rnacentral:sRNA from 1 species
CUGCUCCCCAAGAGCCACUGCUGGCCAAUGCCACCGCCUCCUGCUCUCUCCGCACCACGGGGUGGUCUCAGCCACGCCCGCCUCUCCCCACAGGGCCUCAUCCUGUACCACCAGCACCAGCACAGCAGCUGGGAGUCCCCUACCUGCCUGGCCCAACAGAGCCACAUGGACGCUUUUGAGAGAAGUUUCUGCAUUUUCCGCCUACCACAACCUCCAGGGGCUACUGUGGGGGGAUCCACGAGGCCCUGCCCAUCCUGGAAGGCCGUGAGGGUGGACUUGGUAGUCGCACCCAUCAGCCAGUUCCAUUUCGCCCUGCUCGGUUGGACUGGCUCCAAGGUAGGCAGUGUGCCGCUGGGCCUCCUGGGGGUGGGGCUGGGCCAGCCCUGCUGAGGACAAUCCCUUCCCUACAGCUUUUCCAGCGGGAGCUGCGCCGCUUCAGCCGGAAGGAGAAGGGCCUGUGGCUGAACAGCCAUGGGCUGUUUGACCCGGAGCAGAAGACAUUUUUCCAUGCGGCUUCAGAGGAAGACAUCUUCAGACACCUGGGCCUCGAGUACCUUCCUCCAGAGCAGAGAAACGCCUGAGCCGGCCUGUGUCCCCCACUUCCACUCAGGAAAUCGGGCUGCCCCCAACCUGGCCACUGAAUGUCUCCAGGCA